rnacentral:lncRNA from 1 species
CUCAGCCUCUUUAAUGGUUUCCCAAUUCUCUACCCUCUGGCCUCUUUGGGGAAAAUCAGAAAAAUACGGAACAAGUGAAUCCCAUCAGGGCACAGCCCAGGUAGAUAAGCCUGUUCUAUGGACAAGGUCUGGGUGUGUCUCUCCUACUGCAAAUGGUAGCAGCCUGAGAAGCCAAGAAUUGCAACAGUCCCGCUUGACAUCUGGUGAUGGCCCAGUUCUGAGGGGUAUAAAAGGAACAGUCCUCUGCUGGGGUUCCACAUAGCUCUUAUCCUCCUUCUGGGAUUCCUCUUCAGUCUCUGUCUGAUUGUCUUUUUCUGAACCAAAGAUGGUGGCUACCAAGCUAGAAGAGGACAUAGUUAAACUAAUAGAGAUCUUUCACAAAUACAGCACAAAUAAGGAGGGCUGGGAUGAACUGAACUUGAAAGAAUUGACCCAGAUCAUUAAGAAUGAGUAUCCUGUUUUCAUUUUAACCUGUAGCUCAGGUGAUCCGGAUGGUUACAUUAAAAAGUAUUUUGAUGAGAAUAAGAAUGCAAACAAUGAAGUCAACUUUAAUGCUUAUAUGAAAAUCAUGGGCAAAAUAGCCAACAUCUACCACAAACGGAGCCAUCAUGAUGAGACCUGUGAUGAUAGGAAAUGAACACUACUGGAUCAUGGUGACGAGAUCCAUGGAUAGAAGGGAUAAGACUAGCCCAUCCUAAAACAAGGAGUUCCUGAGAAUUUGAAUCAAUAAAUCAUCUCCUUUACCUUAUAUUAUGGUACCU